rnacentral:rRNA from 1 species
GACGAACGCUGGCGGCGUGCUUAACACAUGCAAGUCGAACGGAAAGGCCCUGCUUUUGUGGGGUGCUCGAGUGGCGAACGGGUGAGUAACACGUGAGUAACCUGCCCUUGACUUUGGGAUAACUUCAGGAAACUGGGGCUAAUACCGGAUAGGAGCUCCUGCUGCAUGGUGGGGGUUGGAAAGUUUCGGCGGUUGGGGAUGGACUCGCGGCUUAUCAGCUUGUUGGUGGGGUAGUGGCUUACCAAGGCUUUGACGGGUAGCCGGCCUGAGAGGGUGACCGGCCACAUUGGGACUGAGAUACGGCCCAGACUCCUACGGGAGGCAGCAGGGGGGAAUAUUGCACAAUGGGCGGAAGCCUGAUGCAGCAACGCCGCGUGCGGGAUGACGGCCUUCGGGUUGUAAACCGCUUUCGCCUGUGACGAAGCGUGAGUGACGGUAAUGGGUAAAGAAGCACCGGCGAACUACGU